UACGUAGGGGGCAAGCGUUGUCCGGAAUCAUUGGGCGUAAAGAGCGUGUAGGCGGCCCGAUAAGUCCGCUGUGAAAGUCCAGGGCUCAACCCUGGGAUGCCGGUCGAUACUGCCGGACUAGAGUUCGGAAGAGGCGAGUGGAAUUCCCGGUGUAGCGGUGAAAUGCGCAGAUAUCGGGAGGAACACCUAUGGCGAAGGCAGCUCGCUGGGACGUUACUGACGCUGAGACGCGAAAGCGUGGGGAGCAAACAGG
rnacentral:rRNA from 1 species